rnacentral:lncRNA from 1 species
GACGUGCGUUCCGCAGCCCCGCCUGCGGGAUACCCGGUACUAGGAGGACAGUUGCGGACGGAGAGACCUGGCGGGGAAGGGGCAUCGAGCCCCAGUCUGUUGCUCUGGGAUCCUGCCAGUCUUCCGCAGAGCGACCUCCUGUCAGGAUCCGAGUCACCAGCACCUGGCAGGCUCUGUCCCUGCGGGAAGAGCAGGGAGAGGAGGUGGACUCAUCUGGCAUCCACGUCCCCUGGGUCCCGGAGAAAAGUGAAACACAAAUGUUAGCUGAGAUUGUGAAAGUUGUCAGAAUCAAAAAUAGAGUCACAUGUGUUAGAAAACCUGACAAGUGGAACUGGAGAAGGCCAUGAAGGAGAGUUCUCAUCCAUGAAUGCCUGAUAAUAAAACUAUCACAAAAUACUGCGAAAACCACAACCUUGCACAAAGACCUCCACCUUACCCAAAAAGAUACUUCUAUGAGGACAUCUGUCCAGCAAUUGUCUGUCCAACCUUGAACUGACAUCACCCUUGUUAUUGAUGCUUGGAGCCAAGGCUAAUUACCUCAAAACAAUUAUGUAAUCCUCUCCUUUUUUUAUUUUUUAAAAAAACUUUUUUUUCCUUUAAUUCCUUGAAUAUGCAAACAGUUUGCCAUGGCACGCAUAUUCCUAUUGCAAUGCCCAUUCCUGGGUAAAUGUCAUUUUCUUCUGUAGAGUUGAGGACUAAGCUCUAAUUUUUUUAUCUUGCCCAAAUUCCUAUCUAAGGUGUCUAGGGAGUCAUGCCCUAGAAACCAUAAAUUCUUAUCAGAUGGGUUUUAUUUGACUCUAUAUACCAUGACUUACUUUCCAAUCUGAUUCUGGCAUAAUAUUAUGAGACAAGGAAAAAAAAAUCAAAAUAUUUAACCCCAAGAUAUAUUUCCUUGCCAUAUCUUGAAAUUGCCCUGCAAAAUCUCUUGUGGGAAAAAACCACAUUCUAUAGAGAAUCUCUUUUCCCCUUUGUUUUCCUUCUUUCCUUUCCAAAUCCAGGAGAUAACCAACUAAGAGCCAGGCACCCUUUUAGGUCCGACAAGACAAAUUUUACAAUCUGCUCUCUCUCUGAGGUCUGCUAUACUGAGAGCUUCCUCUGCACAAUAAACUUGGUCUCCACAAUCUUUUAUCUUAACCCCAACAUUUCCUUUUUAUUGAUCCCAGGCCUUCAGAUAAACUCAACCAAUUGUCAACCAGGAAAUGUUUAAAUUUACAUACUCAUUGAGUUGUCCCACCUUUCUGAACCAAACCAAUGUAUUUCUUAUUUGAUUGAUGUCUCAUGCCUCCCUAAAAUGUAUAAAACCAAGCUGCACCUCAACCACUUUGGGCACAUGUUCUCAGGACCUCCUGAGGGUCACUCAUAUUUGGCUCAGAAUAAAUCUCUAAAAAUAUUUUACAGAGUUUGACUCUUUUCAUCAACAGUCUACCUCUCUGUUGCUUGGGAUGAAAAAAUGAUGCUACUAAUUUUAUAGUUAAAAGAAUUAACAGUGCCUGGCAAAUAAAAGAAUGUAUUCAAUAAAUGUUAGCUUUCUCUCUUCUGAGAUUCCUAUCUCAGCAGAGCUGGGUAUCAGGGAAUUCAGGCUUGAGGGAGUAAGUCAGAAACUCUGUAACAAGGAAGGAGAAAUAAAUCAGAAACCCGGUUAUAAUAACGCUUGAACCCCUGUUUUCCUAAAACCCAGGGUAGGCAGACAAUGAUUCAAAAUUGGAGGCAUGUUGAAGUGUGUGUGAUGGCUCUGUGGCCCCAACAACAAAAGUAAUUUGGAAGGAUACAGGGGCAGGGAGUCAGAUGUUAUGCAGUCUAUUAGUUCAUUCUCACAUUACUGUAAAGAACUACCUGAGACUGGGUAAUUUAUGAAGAAAAGAGGUUUAAUUGACUCACAGUUCCAUAGGCUGUACAGAAAGCAUGGCUGGGGAGGCCUCAGGAAACACUAUCAUGGUGGAAGGGCAAAGGGGAAGCAAGUAGCUUCUUCACAUGGCAGAGUAGGAGGGAGAGAGAGCGAAGAGGAAAGUGCUACACAUGUUUUAACAAACAUAUCUCAUGAGAACUCACUAUCAUGAGAACGACAAGGGGAAAAUCCACCCCCAUGAUCCAAUUACCUCUCACUAGGUACCUCCCCCAACAUGGGGAUUACAGUUCAACAUGAAAUUUGGAGGGGGACACAGAGCCAAAUCAUAUCAUGCAGAGAACAAAAACUCCUUCCUAGGUACUCAUUAUUGCCUGAAAUCCAUUUCUAAGAUCAUGAAGGCCUUUAUUUCACUACUGGCAGCUAGCAAAUACUUUGCAUAUAAUAGGCCUCCAGUAAGCAUUUGUUAAAUUGAAUUAGAAACAAGGAACCCAAGGCAAACACCCUUGGGAUAAGCAACACAGUGACUUGACUCAGGGAAGGUGAUACCAGCUCCUCUUAGAAAAGUAGACUUUAGGAUGACAAGUAGAUUUUGUUUUCAAGUAGAACGGGGGGGUGCGUGAUCUGGAGAGGGCAGCAGAAUGGGAGAAACUUCUGGAGACCAUAUUGUCUGGUACCCAACUUUGUCUGAAGCCAUCUAUUUCAUUAUUUCCCUUUCAAUAUUUUGUUCCAAUUAUUUCAAGAAUGUGUGCAUAAUAGGGUCUAUGUCUCUCAAAUUUUAGCAAUGAACAUGUUAUCCUAAGUGCAAUUUAAUUUGUCCUUUGCUUUGGCUCUAUGUAUGUAAACAAGAGAGAAGAUUCUUUCUGGUUGCUAUUCCCAGGAAAUAAUUCAUGAUCAUGGGUGAUGGAUACAGCUGGUAUGAGUUUAUUAUAGGGUGAGCUCCCAAGAAACACCCUUCUAUUGGGAAAAUCAUCACCAGCUGCAAUGGCCUUGGAGAGUAGGCAUUCUGAAGACCUUUUGUUGAAUAUAUAUGUUUACACCUGAAUUUCAUGUUCUGAAAUUAUUCCAAUGCUAUAAUCUUGUUAUUGACAUUUAGAAAUCUGCAUAUGUGUUUUUGUUUGUUUAUUUAUUUAUUUAUUUUUGUAGAGACGAAAUCUCGCUCCAUCGCUCAGGCGGAGUGCGGUGGUGUGAUCUUGACUCACUGCAACCUCCGCCUCCCGGAUUCAAGCAAUCCUCCUGCCUCAGCCUGCCGAGUAAUUGGGACUACAGGUGCAUGCCACCACACCCAGCUAAUUUCUUUUGUAUUUUAGUAGAGACGGGGUUUCGCUGUGUUGCUCAGGCUGGUCUUGAACUCCUGAGCUCAGGCAAUCCACCCGCCUCAGCCUCCCAAAGUGCUGGAUUACAGGCGUGAGCCACCAUGCCUGGCUAAUUUUUGUAUUUUUAGUAGAGACAGGGUUUUGCCAUGUUGGCCAGGCUGGUCUGAAACUCCAGGCCUAAAGUGAUCCACCUGCCAUAGCCUCCUAAAGUUCUGGGAUUACAGGCAUGAGCCACUGUGCCUGACCCAUAUGUGUGUUUUAGACGGAAAUACUUUGUUUCCCUUAAUGAAUUGGCAUGAACUAAUCAAUUACUGGGUUUCUUUUUUUGUAUUAGCUUACAGGAACCUCAAAACUAAGAUUUGUGCUCAGUUGAAAUAAAUA